ensembl:lncRNA
CACACACACACAUACACAAACACACAAAAGCACACACACACACACACAUACGCACACAGACACACACAAACACACACACAGUAAUUAGCAUGCUUAGAGACAGUUAAAUGUUCUCACAAAGCUGUUACUGUUACUCUCCCAUCGCCCACAAAGAAAGUAGACAAUAAUAAACUGGAUAGGACUCCACCACAUAACUCCCACCACUGCUAUUCAUCAAUUCACAUGUUCACUCAAUCACAAAUUCAGCAUUCGCCUGUUCAUGAAUAAAGGUCAGGAAACUAGGUCAGGCUACCAUUUCAUACCAAUACACUGUCAUCAUACUCAUCUGUUUACCUGUUGACUAGAGCAGUGGUUCUCAAAUGGAGGUACCUUUACCCCUAGGGGAACUUUUGGAUUCUGCAGGGGGUACUCAGAAAUUUUUUAAAUCAUCUAUAUAUGUUUUUGCCCUGAGCAAGUUUAAAUCAGAAAGCUAGACAAAAGAAAAUGGAGAAAAUGGAAAAGUGGUUUAAAACUAAAUCUGAAAAAAGUAGAAAGGAGAAUCUGUGAAAUAGAAAGCGCAUCCAGAGACUCUAAAAUGCCUCUACAUGCUCUGACCCUCCUUUGGCAUUGUGCUUCUUUUGUGAGGAGAAAUUAGCCUACAGUUGAAAGAAGCACAGGCCCAAGUUUCUCACUAAAUUGUCCCAUGGGCUCUACCGGAAGAGGCGUGACUUCGCCACUAUUGGACUGAACAGGGAUAUCUGGUACUCCAUCGAGGGACCCGUCCACAGCCCGCUAAAACAGCUGCAAUACCAGGCUUGGCCGCUGUGCAAUGGUGGAUUGCGGAAGUAUGAACUGCUCCUGGGGGCCUGCUCUGGCCCCGGGCCCAUGCUCGGGCCCCCCUCCAGCGCUGGACCCAUCUCCACUCCCCAGGAGUCCAGGAGAGGUCCCGGGUGUGAAAUCAGGAGACUCAACCUUGUUUAUCGUGCCUCCUUAUCAAUAAACACAAUUUACAUGCCACUGUUUUGUGUCGCCCAGUGUAUUGAUUAAUCAAGCUCAUCGUUAAUACAUAAAUGUAUUAUAUGAACCAGUGUCAAUCCAGCAUAAAGAACAAAUUCAACUUUCUGUGUGAUAUGGAC